rnacentral:rRNA from 1 species
CUUCGGGAACUCUGAGACAGGUGCUGCAUGGCUGUCGUCAGCUCGUGUUGUGAAAUGUUGGGUUAAGUCCCGCAACGAGCGCAACCCUUAUCCUUGUUUGCCAGCGAGUAAUGUCGGGAACUCCAGGGAGACUGCCGGUGAUAAACCGGAGGAAGGUGGGGACGACGUCAAGUCAUCAUGGCCCUUACGAGUAGGGCUACACACGUGCUACAAUGGCGCAUACAGAGGGCGGCCAACUUGCGAAAGUGAGCGAAUCCCAAAAAGUGCGUCGUAGUCCGGAUUGGAGUCUGCAACUCGACUCCAUGAAGUCGGAAUCGCUAGUAAUCGUGGAUCAGAAUGCCACGGUGAAUACGUUCCCGGGCCUUGUACACACCGCCCGUCACACCAUGGGAGUGGGCUGCAAAAGAAGUGGGUAGUUUAACCUUCGGGAGGACGCUCACCACUUUGUGGUUCAUGACUGGGGUGAAGUCGUAACAAGGUAGCGCUAGGGGAACCUGGCGCUGGAUCACCUCCUUA